rnacentral:rRNA from 1 species
UACCAGCACCCCGAGCGGUCGGGACGUUUAUUGGGCCUAAAGCAUCCGUAGCCGGUUCUACAAGUCUUCCGUUAAAUCCACCUGCUUAACAGAUGGGCUGCGGAAGAUACUAUAGAACUAGGAGGCGGGAGAGGCAAGCGGAACUCGAUGGGUAGGGGUAAAAUCCGUUGAUCCAUUGAAGACCACCAGUGGCGAAGGCGGCUUGCCGGAACGCGCUCGACGGUGAGGGAUGAAAGCUGGGGGAGCAAACCGG